rnacentral:rRNA from 1 species
UACAGAGGUGGCAAGCGUUGUUCGGAAUUACUGGGCGUAAAGGGUGCGUAGGCGGUCGGGUAAGUCUGGUGUGAAAUCUUCGAGCUUAACUCGGAAACUGCAUUGGAUACUAUUCGGCUAGAGAGUUGGAGGGGGGAUUGGAAUACUUGGUGUAGCAGUGAAAUGCGUAGAUAUCAAGUGGAACACCAGUGGCGAAGGCGAAUCCCUGGACAACUUCUGACGCUGAGGUGCGAAAGCCAGGGGAGCGAACGGG